CUCUGCAGGGGCUGACUGCAGUUCCUCCUCUAACCUUGUCCCAGUCCCUCAAUUUAGACCAAAACAAUGAGAAGAUGGAAAGAUCAAACAAACAGAUCUUUGUGGAGCAACAAAGAGGUCUUAUGAAGUUGCCCAGGCUGGCCUCAGACUUGCAAUCCUCCUCACUCAGCCUCUGGAGUAACUAGGAUUACGGUGAGAUCACCAUGAAUCGAGUCUGCCUGUGGAUAAUGGAAAGGUGGUAGGUUUGCAGAAAGUGGAAUUUAGUCCUCAUCUCAAGGACUGGAAUUUAAAGGAGAAGACAGAAUGAGAUCAGGAGAUCCUUUGAGUCUCUGAUGACAGUCAUACAGUUGGCCAUUCACAUGACCUUUCAGAAGGCUGAAAGAUCACCACUGAAGAUGCAUGUGAAGAAUUACACUGUGGCACAAGAACAGGAAGCAAGAAACGGCUGCAGGAAUAGGAUGAGGAGUAUUCUCUUCCCCCCAGCCUUGAUAUCCCAGUAAGGAGAUAAGCAGAAGUCAGUCUUCCUGUGGGAGAAGAACUGGAUGUUCAAAUGGGUAAUUUUUUCUCCUUCAAAAUUUAAAAGUAGAGCCUUGAGAUAUUAUCAGAUACAGGCAAAUUAUCAAGUAGGCAGUUUAUUCCCAGUUCCACCCUGUCUCUCCCUCUCUUUGGUCCCAGCUUUGCAGCCUCACGUGCUGUGUCCUUCCACAAGCCCACCAGAGUGGGGCAGUGGCUCUGGGAGCUCUUGUACUUCUGUGUCACGUCUCACAAUUCUUCCACUACCUCUCACAGUAGAGCACAGGCUUAGUGUAGGUGAGAGGAGUGCAGGGCUCUACAGUUCCAUCCCAGUAAAAAGGGAGGAGCAAAGAGAGGGAGAAAAAUGGAGGGGAGAGAGAGAACUGGUGGGAAGUUGGUGCAGUCACAUGAAAUCUACAAAGAAGAAGAAAAAAUGUUUUGUUUGAGAAAUACUUGGGUUCACAGACAGAUCUAAUCUGCGAAAGUAUUUCUACACUGUUUUUGUACAGUUUCUUCCCUUUCUCCUUUCCUAAAUCCAGAGAAACUCUGAACAUUCCCUCCUGACCCCACGCAUGAGCAUGAUGGCUUCUCUAGCAGUAAUAGGACUCAGUCCUUGAGAUGAGGACUAAGCAUUUGUGACUGUCUGUAAUUUAUAAAUCAGUAACUGUUUAUGUUGGUAAGAUUUUUAAAGUUUCAACCCUAAAAUUGUGAUGAGUAACUCUGCUCAAAUACAGUCUCAAGAGCCUGUCUAAACAUUAAAUUGAGAAAGGGAACACAUUCUUCUUUAAAACAUUUUGAUCUUUCAUUACUUCUAUUCUUCUGAAAAAGUCAAAGAGGAGGAGGAGGAAACUGAAAAGAUGAAAGAGAUUCUUAAUGCUGGUUUAUUUAAUGAUUUACAAGCCUGUGAUUUGGGAGGUCAUCCUAAUUGUAAUGCUUCUAUGUGCCUUUCAGAUUUUUUUUUUUAACCAGAAAUUAAACUCAUGACUGUGGCUCGCUAAGCAUGUGCUUGUUCCCAAACUAUGUCCCUGAUCCCCUUUCAGCUUUUAAACUGUGAGUUGCAAGUUAUAAAAACAACACCUGCAAAUUUUUAAAAAUUACUUAAUAUUAGAAGCUUAUGAGCGGGACAUGGUGCACAAUUAUAAUCCUAGUACUCAGGAGGCUGAGCCAGGGAGAUCACUGCAAGUUCUAGGCCAGCCCAGGCUACCUAGCAAAACCAUGCCUCAAGAAGAAUAAAACAAGCUUAUAUAUGUGUAAUGCAUGUACAGACACAGAUAUGGAAAGUAUCUAUGCAUAUAUGUAUGAAUAUUCUGAAAGAUAUACACAUGUACAUGUAAAUACACAGUUGGAUUUUGUUCUAACUCUAUACAGUCUAUCAUUUAACUUACCCAUAUUAAUGCAUAACAUUUUGUGAGCUUCCACAUUUGCACACUAACAUUUUACCACUGGUCCCAGGUGAUCAAAAUCAGCCCACAUGAUUAACACUGGACUGAACCCAAAUAUUACAGCUUUUAUCACGUACUGUCCAAUUUUAUUAACACUGCAACCUUUAAGCCUAUUUAAUUGUCAAAAGAAGUAAAAUAUACAGCUAUUAUUUCCUCAUAGCCUGAUUUCAACUCUAAUUCCAUCUGUGACUCAACAAAGGUUAUUUUUAUUAUAGGUCAUAGCAACAAUAACCAAAAUGCCUAAGGUAUUUAGUUAAGCAUCUAGAGUCAUCUUAACCUGAACUAUUAAGGGAUCCUUCUGUACUGAAUGGGCAAAAACUCCAGUUUCUAGAUAGGAAACAGGAGAGUAGAGGUCUCAUUACAAACUUGAAAGAAGACUAUGAUGUUUUUCCUGACAGCUGCUGCUGUUGUUGGGUCUUAUGAUCAAAAUUAAGGAGAUUUAGGAAAUUAUUAAUAGCAUGAAAUGUAUAUAUGUAUAAAAUGUCCAGACAUUUCCAUCUGCCUAGGCAAAGUUAGACUUCUCUAGUUAUGUGAACCUUCCCUGGGCACUGGGCCAAAUCACCAUGAAUGAACACACCAUCUUCUCCCCAACAGAAGCUCAUGCUAUGAAACUCACUGUCAGUCCUGAAAGAUAAUUUCUUCUGUACAGUUCAACCACAGAUCAGACCAAGGGAGGAAAAGUUAGACAAUGUAGAGUCUGGAGUCAGAUAGAGCUAAAUUUCAGUCCCAUUUUUACCAUUCAUGGGCACAUUUCUGAGCUUCGAUUUUCUCAUUUGCCUAAUGGAUUACUGGUGUGUUGUUUAUGUGAUAUGUCUAGCAUACAGCAAUAGGGUGCCUGUGAAUUAUCAGAAUGGUCAUAAUACAAUGAUACAAGAGCUACAUUCACCCACAGACCACACUCUGUGGUCUGUGAGACUUUUACAGCUUACGUACACAGUACUAUCCUAGGUGAAGAAUCAUAUUAUGGAAAUAGUGAGGGGUACUUUACAUGCUCUUCAAACAAGUUGAAUUUUGAAUAUGAAUGGGAUAAUGUAAUUGAAGUUUGAGAUUUUACCCAAUAAAUGAAUAUAUUUAAAUGUUAGUAAAGUGAUUUGGUGAGGGGCAUGGAAUUUGGUCUCUCUUGAUGAUCUCCUACUGAAUGAUUGAGGUUCCAGCCUGGGCAUGCUGUGGUUUGAUCAUCCCCUUCAUGACUCAUGUUGAUAUUUAAAUGUCACAGUAAUAUUAAGAGGUAGAUCUUUAAGAGGUGAAUGGGCCAUGAAGAACUCAAGAAUGGUCUGAUGUUGUCAGCAUGGGACUGAGUUGGUUAUCACAGAAGUGGCUCUGUUAUAAGUCUCUCUCUCUCUCUCUCUCUCUCUCUCUCUCUCUCUCUCUCUCUCUCUCUCUCUCCCCUACCCAUUCCCCUCUCUUCCCCCUCCCCACUUUCUUUCCCCCUUCCUCUCCCUUUCUCCCUCCCUGUCAUGCCCCUGACUUGUUAUGAUGCAACAAGAAGGCCUUCACCUGAUGCCAGCACCUUGAUACUGGAGUUCCCAGACUCUAACACAAUGAGACAUACAUUUCUUUUUUUUAUAAAUUGUCCGAUCUGUGUUAUUCUGUUAUAAUAACAUAAAAUAGACUAAAUAUAAGAACAAUUUAAUUAAUAUCCUGAAAUUUAAGUUUCUUCAAAUACAAAAAUACCUCACUCAUCUUUCAGAACUGCUAUGAGCAUUAAAAUCAGAUGAAGUAUGUAAAUCAUAUAUUUCACUGUUCAAGACAAAUGAUUAAUUUGUUACAAAAAUUAUUCAUUCAGCAAUGAUGCUCAUAUCUUGCUACAAAAUCACUCCCUUGUCAUUGAAUUUAAUGUAAGGCAAGUCUUUCUCAGAGCUCAUCAAAGAUAAUUUACAUAAUGAAAUAUCUCAUUGACCUCAUUUUAAGAGGAAGUAGGUUAUGGAUAAGAACUGAUAGAUACAGAGAAUUGCAGCUCUCAUGUUUACUAUGCCAUGUGAUAGAAAUUACUUCACAACGUACUUAAAAGUAAUUAAUACAAGCUCAAUAAUGAACGCACUGAAUAUGAUUGUUAGAUUAGAUAAAAUACUUGCCUAUGUGAAUCUCAUUACUCAGAGGUGACCAUUACUGCUGUUUCAGGUUACAACCCUGCUGUCUUAUUAAAAUAUAUCAAGAUGCACAGAGAAACACAGUCACAAAAAUUUCAGUUAUAGAGUUUAUAAAAAGGUUAUCUGAACUUCAUUUGAAGCCUCCAAAAUUCUGGAAUUAUAGUCAUAUGCCACCAUGCCUUGCUGAAGAAUACUUAAAAAGCAUGAACAGAAAAAAGUAAAACUUCCCAUAAUCUCACUGCAUGAAUAAUCAUUAGUACUUUGUCAUAAGCAGUAUUUAUAAAUAUUUAUACUAUGAUGUAUACAUUGAUUUUUUAGUUCUUUGGUGUAUCUGUACUAUAAAUUUGCAGAAGCCAUUUUAUGAAGUUCUUGUUUCAAAUUUUUCCCCAUAUUUUUAUUCAAUCUUUUUUUUUUUUGGUACUAGGCAUGGAACCUAGGUAAAUGCUAGGCAAGCACUGUCCUUGAGCUAUACCUUCAAUCUUCUAUAUUUUAUUUAUAAUCUAUUUUUAUGUAUGUUAAGGUUUUAUUUGCAUUACUCAAAUAUAUGCUUUUAAAACCUUUACCUUUGUGUCAUGCUUAAAAAUGGCUUCCAUGUUCUUUUUUUUUUUUUUUUUUUUUUCAUUUUCUUUCUACAUUUAGACCCUUAAUACACUUGUAACAGAUCUGGCAUCUAUGUGAGGCAAAGAAUCCUUUUCUUUUCUUUUUUUUCCAAACAGAUAAUCAAUUUUUAUAACUAUUAUGGCUCAUAUGAUGAUGUCCCCCAAGGCUUCAUGCAUGCAGAGCCAGAGUUUUUGCAAGAUGACUGAAUUGUGGGCAUGAUGCUGCUCACUGACUAGCCAUUGGAAGGCAGAGUCUGGUGAGAAGAGGCAGGCCACUGCAUGUGUGUUCCGGAAGGGAAUAUCUCCAUUCUCAGCUCCUCACUUCUCUCUGGUUUCUGCUCCUCAGGAUGUGAGCGGCUUUUCCUCCGCUUUGGGCCUCUACCAUGCUGGGCUGCUUUGGAGCCAGCUGACUGUGGACUGAAACUGUGAGCCAAAAUAAAACUAUGCACCUUGAAGCUGUAGGUGCUAGGUACUGUGUUUCAGCAAAAAGAAAAAUGAGGAAGACAAUAACAACGAUUGUUUUAGAAAGAUCAUUAGUUCACACUUAAUGGAACAUCUUCCUGUUCCGUGCACUUGCAUGAAGUUUUGUUCUCUGGCUAGCAAUGUAUCAGAGAGCUAAAUUGAAUUUAAUAAAUUGAGUAAAAGGCUAUAGCAA